rnacentral:rRNA from 1 species
GAUGAACGCUAGCUACAGGCUUAACACAUGCAAGUCGAGGGGAAACGAUGAGAGAGCUUGCUCUCUUAGGCGUCGACCGGCGCACGGGUGAGUAACGCGUAUCCAACCUACCCAUUACAGGGGGAUAACCUUGCGAAAGUAAGACUAAUACCCCAUGGCAUUUUAUGGUGGCAUCAUUAUAGGAUUAAAGAUUUAUUGGUAAUGGAUGGGGAUGCGUCUGAUUAGCUUGUUGGCGGGGUAACGGCCCACCAAGGCAACGAUCAGUAGGGGUUCUGAGAGGAAGGUCCCCCACAUUGGAACUGAGACACGGUCCAAACUCCUACGGGAGGCAGCAGUGAGGAAUAUUGGUCAAUGGGCGAGAGCGUGAACCAGCCAAGUAGCGUGCAGGAUGACGGCCCUAUGGGUUGUAAACUGCUUUUAUAGGGGAAUAAAGUGAGCUACGUGUAGUUUAUUGCAUGUACCCGAUGAAUAAGGACCGGCUAAUUCCGUG